GACCUACGGGGCGCAGCAGUGGGGGAUAUUGCACAAUGGGGGCAACCCUGAUGCAGCGACGCCGCGUGAGCGAUGGAGUACUUCGGUAUGUAAAGCUCUGUCAGCAGGGAAGAGAAUGACGGUACCUGACCAAGAAGCCCCGGCUAAAUACGUGCCAGCAGCCGCGGUAAUACGUAUGGGGCAAGCGUUAUCCGGAUUUACUGGGUGUAAAGGGAGCGUAGGCGGCAGAGCAAGUCUGAAGUGAAAGCCCGCGGCCCAACUGCGGGACUGCUUUGGAAACUGCCCGGCUAGAGUGCUGGAGAGGG
rnacentral:rRNA from 1 species